AACGACUCUCGGCAACGGAUAUCUCGGCUCUCGCAUCGAUGAAGAACGUAGCGAAAUGCGAUACUUGGUGUGAAUUGCAGAAUCCCGUGAACCAUCGAGUCUUUGAACGCAAGUUGCGCCCGAAGCCAUCAGGCCGAGGGCACGUCUGGCUGGGUGUCACACAACG
rnacentral:rRNA from 1 species